rnacentral:rRNA from 1 species
GAUGAACGCUGGCGGCGUGCCUAAUACAUGCAAGUCGAGCGAACAGACGAGGAGCUUGCUCCUCUGACGUUAGCGGCGGACGGGUGUGUAACACGUGGAUAACCUCCCUAUAAGACUGGGAUAACUUCGGGAAACCGGAGCUAAUACCGGAUAAUAUAUUGAACCGCAUGGUUCAAUAGUGAAAGACGGUUUUGCUGUCACUUAUAGAUGGAUCCCCGCCGCAUUAGCUAGUUGGUAAGGUAACGGCUUACCAAGGCGACGAUGCGUAGCCGACCUGAGAGGGUGAUCGGCCACACUGGAACUGAGACACGGUCCAGACUCCUACGGGAGGCAGCAGUAGGGAAUCUUCCGCAAUGGGCGAAAGCUUGACGGAGCAACGCCGCGUGAGUGAUGAAGGUCUUCGGAUCGUAAAACUCUGUUAUUAGGGAAGAACAAAUGUGUAAGUAACUAUGCACGUCUUGACGGUACCUAAUCAGAAAGCCACGGCUAACUACGUG